CGGGGCGAGUCCGGUCAGUGGACGCCUCGAGCUGGGCUGCGGGGCAUCCGGGUAGGGUGCAGACAGCGGGAGACGGCGGCCAGCGGGAGGCGGCACGGCCGCCAUGGGGAACAAGCAGACCAUUUUCACUGAGGAGCAGCUGGACAACUACCAGGACUGCACUUUCUUCAAUAAGAAGGACAUCCUCAAGCUGCACGCACGGUUCUACGAGCUGGCCCCCAACCUUGUCCCCAUGGACUACAGGAAGAGCCCCAUCGUGCACGUGCCCAUGGGCCUCAUCGUCCAGAUGCCGGAGCUGCGGGAGAAUCCCUUCAAGGAAAGGAUCGUGGAGUCGUUUUCUGAGGACGGCGAGGGGAACCUCACCUUCAACGACUUCGUGGACAUGUUUUCCGUGCUCUGCGAGUCGGCGCCGCGAGAGCUCAAGGCAAACUACGCCUUCAAGAUCUACGACUUCAACACAGACAACUUCAUCUGCAAGGAGGACCUGGAGCUGACACUGGCACGGCUCACCAAGGCCGAGCUGGAUGAGGACGAGGUGGUGCUCGUGUGCAACAAGGUCAUCGAGGAGGCAGACCUGGACGGUGAUGGCAAGCUGGGCUUUGCCGACUUUGAGGACAUGAUUGCCAAGGCUCCCGACUUCCUCAGGUGCCCCCAGGGGCCUGCUGGGGCAGGGGGUCACAGUCCAGCACUUUCCACAUCCGGAUCUGAGGACAGCACCAAGGCUGUAGGGUGCAGUGCGUCCAUCCAGCUUGGCUGUCUGUAUAAGCAUGACCUCUGAGCUCCCCAGGACGGGAGUGGUGGCUUCAAGGUGACACCAAUGGACAUUUCCUCGGCCCUUUCAGCAAAAAAUCCUUAACCAGGGAAGGGGAUGUGAGGAGCAGGGCCCUGCCCAGCCCCUGCAGUCUGGCCUAGGACCUGUGGCCCCUCACCAGGCCCUCCCUCUGUCCCCUAAGUCCCCUACCCCUUGGUCCUCUCCUCAUCAGAAGCCUAAUGGGCAGGUUUGGACUUGUCCAAGUGCUGGCCGGGCCCCUGGUCACCCAGGGCAAAGUGGAAAAAACAAGAGGACAGGUUUUAAUGAGCUAAGCAAUCUCCCUGCAGAACCCACAGCUGGCUGCACCCCCAUUCCCCUCCUCCCUCCAGCCCCCUGCAUGAUGCUAUGUGAACAGGGGGUCCGGGGGCUCCAUCCUUGCCUCUGGUUCUGUGUCCUGAGCACCCAGAGCACCACCCCAUCUGCCUCCCCUCGAUGUGGAAUCCUCACUGGUGUGUGCUGUCCAAAGCAGCCACUUCCUCCGGGUUGGCCACUUCCUUCUGGUCACUGGAUUCCCCGGAGGCUUGAGGGGACAGGACCUCAUGUGGACUCCCAGGGCCGACCCUCUGGCCCCAAGCACACCCACCUCGGGCACUGGGCAGGUCCACAGGCUGUGCAAAGGUGGUGCCUGUCCACCAGACGUUGACAUCUAAUCUAAGUGACCUUGGGAACUGCAAAGUGUCACUGAGCCCUUUGAGAAGGGUUCCAAGGAAUUGGGAGCCGCCAGAGACAGCCCAGAAUUUCCAUGCAGGACAGCUGUGGGGGAAUCUGGUUAGAAAAGGGCGAGGACUGAAGCUGCAUCUGUUUAGCAUUUUACAUAAGCAACAAAAGCUGUCCAGACUGAAGAUGGGAGGUGCUGGGAGAAGAGAUGAUGCUCCUCCGUCCAGCGGCCUUCAGCUUACAGCCCUGGGAAGGGGGUGCCGAUGCAGGGUUUGCUUAGGAAAUAACCAGCGGCCAGUGUGGCCCUGAGAGACAGGCAGGCAGGGGAGUCUGGAGCCAUCGGGAGGGACCUGCAGGCCCCCUGGAGCCUUGGCAGGUGUGGGCCACUUCUACUCAGCUGGGCCAGGUGGGCAGAAAGACUUGGGCCCUCUGGGGCCCUGCUGAGAUCUUACGACUGGCAUCAAGACCUUCAUACUUUUCCCCUGGUUGGGGUCUCAGGGCAUGUGACUGAGCAGCCUCCUCAGAGGGCCACAUUCUGGGCCUGGCCAGAGCCAGGCAGAGGCCCCAACAGUUCAUUCCUUAGACUGUAGGCCCAGCACAUGCUGGCACCAGCUUUCAAGGGGCCUAUGAAAUGCCUGUGGCCUAAGAAAAAUAGAGCUGACCUUUGAAUAAUACCAGUUUGAAUUGCACGGGUCCACUCGUAUGCAAUUUUCUUCAAUAAACACUGUACAGUACAGUAAAUGUACAUUUUCUUCCUCUUAUAAUUGAUAUUUUCUCUAGCUUAUUUAUUGUAAGAAUACAGUAUAUAAUACAUGGAAUAUACAAAAUAUGUGUUCAUGGACUGUUUAUGUUAACAGUAAGGCUUCCAGUCAACAGUAGGUGUUUAGUAAUUCAGUUUUGGGGAGUCAAAAGUUAGUCAUGGGUUUUCAACUGCAUGGGGGUCCUGCUCCUAACCUCUGUAUUGUUCCAGGGUCAACUGUAUAUUGGCUCC